AACGAACGCUGGCGGCAGGCUUAACACAUGCAAGUCGAACGGGCGUAGCAAUACGUCAGUGGCAGACGGGUGAGUAACACGUGGGAAUAUCCCUUUCAGUUCGGAGUAACUCAGGGAAACUUGAGCUAAUACCGGAUACGUCCUUCGGGAGAAAGAUUUAUCGCUGAGAGAUUAGCCCGCGUCUGAUUAGCUAGUUGGUGAGGUAAUGGCUCACCAAGGCGACGAUCAGUAGCUGGUCUGAGAGGAUGAUCAGCCACACUGGGACUGAGACACGGCCCAGACUCCUACGGGAGGCAGCAGUGGGGAAUAUUGGACAAUGGGGGAAACCCUGAUCCAGCCAUGCCGCGUGAGUGAUGAAGGCCUUAGGGUUGUAAAGCUCUUUUGCCAGGGAAGAUAAUGACUGUACCUGGAGAAUAAGCCCCGGCUAACUUCGUGCCAGCCGCCGCAGUAA
rnacentral:rRNA from 1 species